AGCUAUUGUCAUGAUCGAUCUUUAAUUUGAUAUGCAUAUCAAAUAUUUUAUAAUUAGUCGAAUUUCACAAUUUAACAAAAUAGAAAAAAAAAGAAGUUAAAGAAAAAGAAAAGAAAAAAAAAAGAUGUAUAGCUUAUAAAUAAACCUUCAAUUUUAUUCUAACUACAAAAUUGUCACUCAAUUUUGAAAUUGAUUUGAAAUCAAUUUGAAAUUGAAAACUCCCAUUUUAAUAUAGUAUAGAUUUAAUUUAUCUAUCUCUCUCUCU
rnacentral:lncRNA from 1 species